UCACCCGUCCCCAUGUCCGACAUCCCCACGUCUCUCUGUCCCCGUGUCCCCAUUCCCCCAUCUGUGUCCUAUGUCCCCAUGUCCCUCUGUCCCCAUUUUCACGUGUCCCCACAUCUCACAUCCCAUUGUCCGUCUGUCCCCACGUCCUUCUGUCCCCAUGUCCCAUGUCCCCAUGUCCCCAUGUCCUUCUGUCCCACGUCCCCACGUCCCUGUCACCCUGUGCCCCUAUGCCCCCAUGUCCCCUCACCCCCGUGUCCCCAUGUCCAUCUGUCCCCACGUCCACGCGUCCCCACGUCUCACAUCCGCACGUCCCUGUGACCCCACAUCCCCACAUCUCGUGUCCCCAUGUCCUUCUGUCCCCAUGUCCCAUAUCUGUGUCUCAUAUCCCCAUGUCCUUCUGUCCCCGUGUCCCAUGUCCCCGUGUCCUUCUGUCCCACGUCCCCAUGUUCCUGUCACCCUGUGUCCUAUGCCCCCAUGUCCCCACACCCCCGUGUCCCCGUGUCCAUCUGUCCCCACUUCCACGCGUCCCCACGUCUCACAUCCGCACGUCCCUGUGACCCCACAUCCCCACAUCUCGUGUCCCCAUGUCCUUCUGUCCCCAUGUCCCAUAUCUGUGUCUCAUAUCCCCAUGUCCUUCUGUCCCCGUGUCCCAUGUCCCCGUGUCCUUCUGUCCCAUGUCCCCACGUCCCUGUCACCCUGUGUCCUAUGCCCCCAUGUCCCCACACCGCCGUGUCCAUCUGUCCCCACUUCCACAUGUCCCGUCUCACAUCCGCACGUCCCCGUGACCCCACAUCCCACAUCCCCAAAUCUCACGUCCCCACAUCCUUCUGUCCCCGUGUCCCAUGUCCCCAUGUCCCCAUGUCCUUCUGUCCCACAUCCCCACGUCCCACACCCGCACUCCACCCCCCCCACCCCUCCCCUAUAGGGCGCACAUCCCCAAAGCGAUGCACACAGCACCUCGCCGCCCCAAAAGGAACGGGACCGCAGCGGGGCGCUGCCCCAUAGGAGCACACAUCAUCGCCCCCCAUAGCGGCAGGCAUCGCCCCCCAUAGCGGGGUGUGGGGCGGAGGGAUGCUGCCCCAUAGAUGCAGCUGCCCCAUAGAUGCAGCUGCCCCAUAGAUGCAGCAGCCCCAGCGGCAGCCGCCCACCCCUGCGGCACCGCAGCGCUGCAGCACCGGCCCAC
rnacentral:lncRNA from 1 species